UAGGGAAUCUUCGGCAAUGGACGGAAGUCUGACCGAGCAACGCCGCGUGAGUGAAGAAGGUUUUCGGAUCGUAAAGCUCUGUUGUAAGAGAAGAACGAGUGUGAGAGUGGAAAGUUCACACCUGGGACGGUAUCUUACCAGAAAGGGACGGCUAACUACGUGCCAGCAGCCGCGGUAAUACGUAGGCCCCGAGCGUUGUCCGGAUUUUGGGGGUAAAGCGAGAGCGGGGGCGGAAAAAUCAGACUAAAAAUAAAGGGGGUGUGCCUUAACCAUACUACGCUUUGGAAAACUGUUUAACUUGAGGGAAAAAGGAGAGAGUGGAAUUCCAUGUGUAGCGGUGAAUUGCGUAAAUAUAUGGGAGAAACACCGGGGGGCAAAACGCGUCUCUGUGGUUUGUAACUGACGCUGAGGCUCGAAAGCGUGGGGAGCAAACAGGAUUAGAUACCCCUGGUAGUCCACGCCGUAAACGAUGAGUGCUAGGUGUUANACCCUUUCCGGGGNUUAGUGCCGUAGCUAACGCAUUAANCACUCCGCCUGNGAGNANNNAGCGCGNGAU
rnacentral:rRNA from 1 species